ACAUGCCUACAACAUAACGUUAAUGCACUGGAUCCCAUUGGAACUCCACAGUUAAGCACACUCAGGAUAGAGUAGUAUUGAGGCUGGAGUAUAAUUGGGAUGGGUGACCUCCAAGGAAGUCCUAGUGUUUUACAUGCC
rnacentral:rRNA from 1 species